GGCAGUUCGGCAGGAUGGACAUUCAUUUUGUCACAGGGAAAGGUCUUGGGAACGCCAGCAUCAUGCGUAUUUUGUACUGCAAUCUCUGGAGCAUCGAGGCAGUACUGGCCAAUGCUGUGAACAACUAUGUUUCGCGGAACAGCGAAUGCCGUAGUGUGCAAGAGGCAGCGUUCCUUUGUUAUCCGCCCUUCAAGUUUCACAGGUGCUCGUGAUAUCUUGGAGUGGGAGUGGUGAAAACAUCUGUUGCCUAUUCUGUGAGCAGUCUGAUAGUACAGAUAAGCCUGGCUGCAAAAGAAAUGAGUUACCUUUCGACAUCUGACUGCGCUGUUCUCCAACGUUCCUUGUUUUUUGUUGAGUGAGCUAGUGUAGCUGUUUGUAGUUUUUUAUGAACCAAUAGCUUUUGUUACAGUUGUAAGAAAGCUCGAACUGCGUGUGAUUUCGUCACAUCGAUAGACAGCCUCAAACAUGUGUAAAGGACCUGGUGUCUCUCUACAACAAUGAAGAGCAGGGCAUAAACCAGAAGACGAAGACAUCGCUUGGACAUGCCAGUGAUUAAGCUGCUUUAGCAUCACCCCAUCUAUACUCCGAAAGAUGCUGCGGGAUGACCGAUGCGAAGAGGCGUAGCGACCAUUCAUGUGAUUAUUAUUAUUGUGACCAUUAUCACUGAUUAUCUUUUCUUUACAAGUUUCAUUAAUUGAUUUAAGAUUUUAAUAAACAAGCACAUAAACGGU